rnacentral:rRNA from 1 species
GGCCCGCACAAGCAGCGGAGCGUGUGGUUUAAUUCGAUGUUACACGAAGAACCUUACCAGGGUUUGACAUGCAAGUGGUAGGAAGCCGAAAGGUGACCGACCCUUCGGGGAGCUUGCACAGGUGCUGCAUGGCUGUCGUCAGCUCGUGUCGUGAGAUGUUCGGUUAAGUCCGCUAACGAGCGCAACCCUCGCUGUGUGUUAUAUGUGUCACACGGGACUGCCGGUCUUAAGCCGGAGGAAGGUGGGGAUGAUGUCAAGUCAGCAUGGCCUUUAUAUCCUGGGCUACACACACGCUACAAUGGCCAACACAAUAGGUUGCUAAGCCGCGAGGUGGCGCCAAUCCAUAAAGUUGGUCUCAGUUCAGAUUGUAGGCUGCAACCCGCCUGCAUGAAGAUGGAGUUGCUAGUAACCGCAGGUCAGCUAUACUGCGGUGAAUACGUUCCCGGGGCUU